rnacentral:rRNA from 1 species
UACGUAGGGGGCUAGCGUUAUCCGGAAUUACUGGGCGUAAAGGGUGCGUAGGCGGUCUUUCAAGCCAGAAGUGAAAGGCUACGGCUCAACCGUAGUAAGCUUUUGGAACUGUAAGACUUGAGUGCAGGAGAGGAGAGUGGAACUCCUAGUGUAGCGGUGAAAUGCGUAGAUAUUAGGAGGAACACCAGUGGCGAAGGCGACUUUCUGGACGAUAACUGACGCUGAGGCGCGAAAGCGUGGGGAGCAAACAGGAUUAGAUACCCCGGUAGUCCCUGAG